UGCCCACGCAGUGCUGUCUUUUCCUGUGUUCAAAAGGAAGCACCUAUUAAUCUCUCCUUGACCCGAUGCCGUUUUCCACAAAGGUUAAGUAAAGGAAGCAUACAGUUUAGGAGAUUUGACUAUUCGUAGAGAACUUCCUCUAUAAACAGCUUGUGAUUCACACACAGGCCUUCUUAUUCCAAGUUUGUAUACCAGUUUCAAACUAUACUGGGCGGACUGGUCUGCCCAUCUCAUAUGAUUCGUUAGUUUAACUUUUUGACACCAGCGCGUUUUUGAAAGGUCGAGAUGUUUUCAACCAGAAGCUGGGAGCGGCCGCACAGAAGGAAAGCAGACGCUGGAACAAGACGCUGGAACAAGACGCUUUUUGGACACAGACCAUUACAGGCCUACCAACAGGACUAGACCAACACUCAUGUCACUCUCAACACAUUGAUGGAGCAAAUCCAAAGUAACCAGAGCUCCUGACAUCACCACGCUACCACCACUUUACAGAGAGGCUGGGCCUGCAGUCACCACACACUGAGCAGACAGCGCUGCCAUUGUAAAAACAAAUAUAUAUAUUAUUUUUAAUAUAUAUUUUUUUUUUUUGUAACAUGCUGAAAAAAGUGUGUGGCCGGCGUCCCCCCGUGUGCCCCCCCCACUACAGCCCUGGACGCCCUCUCUAAAACAUCUACGGUGGCCCACGUGGACACACUGGAGGGAGACAGUGAAGGACACAUCCGCUUCAAGACCCCCGAGGAAGCCCAGGCCGUCGUCAACGACCGCUCGGCCGCCGCCAAGGAACACGGCUGGACGCUGGAUCUGCUCUCCGGUGAUCAUGAGUAAAGGUAUUGGCAGAAGAUUUUGGUGGACCGCCAAGUGAAGUUGAAGGAAACGAGGAACAGAAAAGGUGGGAGAAAAAUACAAAUAUGAACUCCAUGUCUGGUUGGAAAUACAUGCAGGGGAUAUCUCCUUUAACACUCUCUAUUGUUGUUGUGUGUGGGUUAUACGGUGGGCAAUGGGAUUGUACGGUGGGC
ensembl:lncRNA